UACGAAGGGUGCUAGCGUUGUUCGGAUUUAUUGGGCGUAAAGAGUGCGCAGGCGGAUUUGUAAGUCAGAUGUGAAAUCUCGGGGCCCAACCCCGAACCUGCGUCUGAAACUGCAGAUCUAGAAUCUCGGAGAGGGAAGGGGAAUUUCGCAUGUAGGGGUAAAAUCCGUAGAGAUGCGAAGGAAUACCAGAGGCGAAGGCGCCUUCCUGGACGAGUAUUGACGCUGAGGCACGAAAGCGUGGGGAGCAAACAGG
rnacentral:misc_RNA from 1 species